GGCUCUGUAGUGUAGCGGUUAUCACUUCAGAUUCUGAUUUGCUGUCCCGAUAGUGUGGGAAUUCUGAGAACUCAGGUUCGAUUCCUGACAGGGCCU
rnacentral:tRNA from 1 species